rnacentral:rRNA from 1 species
GUCAGCCUGCCAGUGACAUUGUUCAACGGCCGCGGUAUCCUAACCGUGCGAAGGUAGCGUAAUCACUUGUUCUUUAAAUAAGGACUAGUAUGAAUGGCAUCACGAAGGUUACACUGUCUCCUUUUUCUAAUCAGUGAAACUAAUCUCCCCGUGAAGAAGCGGGGAUAGAAAUAUAAGACGAGAAGACCCUAUGGAGCUUUAAACUAAAUAACAUUUACUUCCCCUUAUUUAUAACUUUAGAGCCAUCACAUAUACCUAAGUAAAAUGAUUAUGAGUUUUGGGUUGGGGUGACCUUGGAGUAAAAUAUAACCUCCAUGUCGAAAAAAUUAUAACAAUUUUAACCAAGAGUUACAACUCUAAGUAUCAAUAUCUUGACGUCAAUUGACCCAAUAUUUGAUCAACGAACCAAGUUACCCUAGGGAUAACAGCGCAAUCCACUUCAAGAGCUCCUAUCGACAAGUGGGUUUACGACCUCGAUGUUGGAUCAGGGUAUCCCAGUGGUGCAGCCGCUACUAACGGUUCGUUUGUUCAACGAUUAA